rnacentral:rRNA from 1 species
AUAAGACCCCAUGAACAAGUAAACAUCUAGAGGACAAAAUGAAUGUAAAAUGUAGAAGCGUUCAAUAGCGACGUCGCUUUUUGAUCCUUCGAUGUCGGUUCUUCCUAUUAUUGUGAAGCAAAAUUCACCAAGCGUUGGAUUGUUCACUUAUGCAAGAGAGCGUGGGCUGGAUUUAGACCGUCGUGAAACAUGUUAGUUU